GACGAACGCUGGCGGCGUGCUUAACACAUGCAAGUCGAACGGUAAGGCCCUUCGGGGUACACGAGUGGCGAACGGGUGAGUAACACGUGGGUGAUCUGCCCUGCACUUCGGGAUAAGCCUGGGAAACUGGGUCUAAUACCGGAUAUGCCUCCUGGCUUCAUGGUUGGGGGUGGCAAGCUUUUGCGGUGUGGGCUGGGCCCGCGGCCUAUCAGCUGGUUGGUGGGGGAAUGGCCUACCAGGGCGACGACGGGUAGCCGGCCUGAGAGGGUGACCGGUCACUCUGGGACUGAGAUACGGCCCAGACUCCUACGGGAGGCAGCAGUGGGGAAUAUUGCACAAUGGGCGCAAGCCUGAUGCAGCGACGCCGCGUGAGGGAUGACGGCCUUCGGGUUGUAAACCUCUUUCAGCUAUGACGAAGCGCAAGUGACGGUAGUAGCAGAAGAAGGACCGGCCAACUACGUGCCAGCAGCCGCCGUAA
rnacentral:rRNA from 1 species